rnacentral:rRNA from 1 species
UACGUAGGAUGCAAGCGUUGUCCGGAUUUACUGGGCGUAAAGAGCGCGCAGGCGGUCGUUCAAGUCGCGUGUGAAAGCCCCCGGCUCAACUGGGGAGGGUCACGCGAUACUGAUCGACUCGAAGGCAGGAGAGGGUAGUGGAAUUCCCGGUGUAGUGGUGAAAUGCGUAGAUAUCGGGAGGAACACCAGCGGCGAAGGCGACUACCUGGCCUGUUCUUGACGCUGAGGCGCGAAAGCUAGGGGAGCAAACGGG